rnacentral:rRNA from 1 species
AUUGAACGCUGGCGGCAGGCUUAACACAUGCAAGUCGAGCGGGGUGAUGGUGCUUGCACUAUCACUUAGCGGCGGACGGGUGAGUAAUGCUUAGGAAUCUGCCUAUUAGUGGGGGACAACAUCUCGAAAGGGAUGCUAAUACCCCAUACGUCCUACGGGAGAAAGCAGGGGCUCACUUGUAACCUUGCGCUAAUAGAUGAGCCUAAGUCUGAUUAGCUGGUUGGUGGGGUAAAGGCCUACCAAGGCGUCGAUCUGUAGCGGUGCUGAGAGGAUGAUCCGCCACACUGGGACUGAGACACGGCCCAGACUCCUACGGGAGGCAGCAGUGGGGAAUAUUGGACAAUGGGGGGAACCCUGAUCCAGCCAUGCCGCGUGUGUGAAGAAGGCCUUAUGGUUGUAAAGCACUUUAAGCGAGGAGGAGGCUCUUUUGGUUAAUACCCAAGAUGAGUGGACGUUACUCGCAGAAUAAGCACCGGCUAACUCUGUGCCAGCCGCCGCCGUAA